UGAUAGGUCUGGGGCUGGAGG
rnacentral:piRNA from 1 species